rnacentral:tRNA from 3 species
UCCCCGAUAGCUCAGUCGGUAGAGCGCCGGACUGUUAAUCCGUAGGUCCUUGGUUCGAGCCCAAGUCGGGGAGCCA